CCACGGGUGAUGAAAUAUUUUAUCCAUUAAUCAAAACGUUGGGUUGUUUAUUUUACCCAAGUGUUAUGAAAUGGUUUACCCAUUUUGGGUUGUUUUUGGGCUCGGUCAACAUUCCUAUUCCAAGAUGGGUUGUCGACUAUCCACACCUGGAAAGUCCAGCCUCUGGGCUGACACAAAUUACCACCAGGUAAACUCAUCUUCUUGGUCAGAUGAAGUUGGGGAAGUCUCACUGAGGCAGCCGCCAGCCUUGCUUCCACCUAAAGUCAAUAAAACUGCCUGCAAAAUAGAUAAAGACACACCGUUCCAGAAGGCAGCCUGGCCUACAUCAACAAUAGGCACCAUGAGCCAGAUAAAAAAGUGAGUAAGCGGGCCACAACAACUCGGUCCACUCCUUGGGAGCAAACUUUCUUCCUCAACUGGAGCGCACCUGAUCCUAUUGUUUACCGUGGUAUUUCUAUUUCUCCUGUGAAGAUCAAAGUGGACCAAAUUAGACACGCAAACACUGAUGAAUUCCAACGUGAAGGUUAGCUAACUUGAAUAAGUUCAAUCGUAAUGAGGGAUACAGAACAGUCAGGGGCUUUAUUUGGGAAUUCUGCUGGGAUGUUGUUAUUGUGAGCAAAAGGUAAGAAAGGUUGUUUUGUUGAUGUGAAUCAGUACGCGGGUUUUUUUAAUUUAUUACCGAGUGGAAGCUAAUGAACUUGCUUUACUGCGCGCAAACCUUGUAGAACACACCUCCAACGUUGUGAAGUGUAGGACAUUUGUAUUUGCAAACAACAAUAAAAUUUAAAAGCGUAAGCCCGGAUGAACGGAGCUUCACACCUGCUUUCCCAGCUGUCUUGCGUAACCCGCUUCUGAUCGGGGUUCAAUUGAACAAAUUCCCUUGAAGGAGUUUGUCAAAGUAUCAUCAGACUUCGCCCCAUAAUAUGCCCACAUUAGUUGGUGUCGGCAAUAAAUACAUAAAAUAACCUCGGCCAUCUGUUGAGCAUACGUGCUUCGAAUGUGUUUGUAGUUCAGGUCC